GAUGAACGCUGGCGGCGUGCUUAACACAUGCAAGUCGAACGGUGAAGCGCCUUCCUUUUUGGUGGGUGUGGAUGAGUGGCGAACGGGGGAGUAACACGUGAGUAACCUUCUCCCUUCUUCUGGAUAACCGCAUGAAAGUGUUGCUAAUACGGGAUAUUCUGAGUCUGUCGCAUGAUGGGUCUGGGAAAGAUUUUGUUUCGGUUGGGGAUGGGCUCGCGGCCUAUCAGCUUGUUGGUGAGGUGAUGGCCUACCAAGGCGGUGAGGGGUAGCCGGCCUGAGAGGGUGGGCGGUACUGCUGGGGAUGAGAGGCGCAGCAGCCUACGAGGGGCGGCAGUAGUGGAGAUUACUGAAUGAAGGGAGGCCGGAUGAUGCAGCGACGCGGGGGGGGGGAUGGAGGCCUGCGGGUUGUGAACUUCUUUCGCGAGUGAAGAAGGCCGGACGUGUCUGUGGGUGGGUUGACGGUAGCUGGAUAAGAAGCGACGGCUAACUACGUG
rnacentral:rRNA from 1 species